UCAGCCUUCAGCCGACACUCUUCACUUCUUCAGUCUUCAGUGGCCGAUGCCCUUGUCUCUCAAACCUAGGUCCGAAACACCGACUACCGUUAAAACUCCUCAAACUGCCUUACUCGAAUCCCUUUCUCUUCAGCCCUGUUUCUCCGUUGUCGUCCUUUUCUACCUUCGAGUAAAGGGACGCUGCCAAAAGGUCGCCUGACGCCACCGACGCCGGAGCCGGGUGGUUUAGCUAUCAAGGAGGACAACAAUUCAUAGAAGGUGAAAAAAA